rnacentral:rRNA from 1 species
UACGGGGGGGGCAAGCGUUGUUCGGAAUUACUGGGCGUAAAGGGCCAGUAGGCGGCCAACUAAGUCCGACGUGAAAUCCCAAGGCUUAACCUGGGAACUGCAUCCGAUACUGGAUGGCUUGAAUUCGGGAGAGGGAUGCAGAAUUCCAGGUGUAGCGGUGAAAUGCGUAGAUAUCUGGAGGAAUACCGGUGGCGAAGGCGGCAUCCUGGACCGACAUUGACGCUGAGGAGCGAAAGCUAGGGGAGCAAACGGGG